UGCCCGAAUCCUGACACAGGGAGGUAGUGACAAGAAAUAACAAUACAGGGCCAUUUUGGUCUUGUAAUUGGAAUGAGUACAAUUUACAUCUCUUCACGAGGAUCAAUUGGAGGGCAAGUCUGGUGCCAGCAGCCGCGGUAAUUCCAGCUCCAAUAGCGUAUAUUAAAGUUGUUGCAGUUAAAACGCUCGUAGUCGGAUUUCGGGGCGGGCGGUCCGGUCUGCCGAUGGGUAUGCACUGGGCGGCGCGUCCUUCCUUCCGGAGACCAUGCCUGCUCUUAACUGAGUGGGUAUGGGAGACGGAAUUUUUACUUUGAAAAAAUCAGAGUGUUUCAAGCAGGCAACUCGCUCUUGCAUGGAUUAGCAUGGGAUAAUGAAAUAGGACUUUGGUGCUAUUUUGUUGGUUUCGAACACCGAAGUAAUGAUUAACAGGGACAGUCAGGGG
rnacentral:rRNA from 1 species